CCUCGGAGGCAGAGGGGAGAGGACAAGGGUCAGCGGACCAGCCCACCUUCCAGCCACCUGCACGCGAACAUCUGAAAGAAUCUCCUCCCUCCUCUGGCCUUGACUCUGAACCUCCGGCCCCAUGAAGUCUGACUCCCGGGUAGGUAGGGGCCGCUCAGUCCUACCGAGCGAAUGAGCGAACGCGUGAAUGCGUGAAGGCAGGAAGGUAUGAACCUACCUCCCCCAUCUUUCCCGAAUCUUGGGGUGGGGGCAGCAAAGAGGGGGCGUGGGUCAAGAUACCACAGAAGGAGGUGUGCAUGUCUGUUUGCCUUUGUCACUGGGUCUGGUUGUAGUGACGAAAGUCCUGCAUGGCCCUGACGCCCAUUUCCUAUCCGCUAGUUUCCGCUGAUCCUGAUGUGGCGAUCCCGUGAUGUCACGGGCAGUGUGGGAGAAUGUGAAGAUUAACCUCUUUUCUAGUCCAAAAACUCAGGUUCUGCACCUCCUAGGUGGGUAUGCCUGGAUAAGUCACUUUAAAAAACAGCCUCGAUUAUCGCAUCUAUAAAAUGGGCACGUAACACAGACCAGAACUGUGGUGAGGAUCCCAGGAGGUCGCACACGCAUAAGAUGUCGACUGCCAUCAAGCUGAACUCCAUUCUUUUUUUUUUCAUCGUCACUAACACCACGGCGGCUUUCCUAGACUCAUGUAGGCCCUAAGGUUCUGUGCUGUCCCAGUGGACAGCUGACAGGAGAAGAUUCCACGUGGAGCAGCCAGGCCUGCAUGAGAUGCUGCCUGGUGAGGGUGUAAUUGGCAAGACUCAAAGACUUCUAUCUAAUGAACUCUUGUCUUGCUCUGCUUUGGGGAUAACCUUCCUCUAAAGCUUGGCUAGCGGCUCCUUAGACAUUCCAGGAGAAAAGUGCCUUCCCUGGGACAAGGGGUAAGGGGGACAGGAGAAAUCCCAGCCAGGUACCUCAGCCUCAAGGCUCCAGGCAUCACCUUCUGGCGGUUUCCCAUCUCAGACACCACGCUGAACACAGGAACGCCAGGAAGGUGGGUGGGUACCUCCUAGGAAGGCGGGUACCUCCGGGGAGGACACAGGCAGGCCCCUAUCUCACUGCUGAGCCCGAGUGAGGACAAGCUGACAUUUAGCUCGAAGGCUAGGAAACCUCGUGAGAGUACAGGGCGGGGAAGGGGCCCCGGGACCGCACGUUAUGUAAUCACAUCGCACGGUCACCUGGCCAUGGGACGCUCUGUAACCUAGCCUUCCAGAAACACAUCUUCUCAGAACUGAGAAAUGCCACAUAGCCAGCCCUCGGGCACUGUUACCUGCGUGUGACUCGAGAGCCUUUCACACACUGACCUCCUUCACCCAGCCGCUCUACAGACUGAAGGAGAUCAGAGCCCUCGUUAGCUCGGUGUUCAGUGCUCACAGAGCUGUGGGCUUCGCAUCCGCGUCGCUGAGGAACCGGGAGAGAGGACCGCGGGACUCCAGCCCUCCUGCCGUUCGAGUCCUCGACUGGAAAGUCAUGAACUCCACAGGACCCGUUCAUUUACAAAACGACUUCAGAUCCAUUACUGACGACAGCCUGGUGGGGCUGCCCGAGGAAGUACCACUGUCUCCGUGCUACGAGGAGGACGUGUGCCCAAGGCCAUGAAAGGAGUCACGUGAGAGCAGUGCUUCCAACCCACGUCGUGACACUGAGCCCCGCACCCAGCCCACUGCCGUCAGUGUGUGGAUGACUCACAAAGGCCCAUGGAAGAAUCUGGCUGAUCUCACCGUGCAGUGACCAAAGCAUCCUAUGACUAUAUAAACAGAUACAAGGUACUGGUCUUUUACAGAUGGGGGGACCUGGGACGCCCACAGCAGGUUAACAGUGCUGUGCAUACUUGUGGCACUCCCUAGGUCUGAACACAACGAUGUGACAGUUCUUAGAGGGUUUCUUGUGCUCAGGCCACAUCACUUCUACUCAAAUCAUCCGGAUCGUUCUACAGGGAAAGACGCUCCUUAUUCCAAAAAGGAGAGGAGACGUCUGAACGUCAUCACUCCACACGGCAUCCAAGAGGGAAGUUCCCUCGCACUCCACAGAGCACAUGUGCAUUUGGAAGCGUGCGCUCUUAUCCGUCGGAGACGGCGCGCACCCCCUCCGCACGGCUAACCUCGGGGACGCUCCCAGCUUUGUGAACCUGCGCGUCCAGCACGAUGGCAGCGAGGCGAUGACAAAGACUCACCGAGGAAGACGUGUGCCCUUUAAGAAUACAACCCUGUCUUUGUGUUGUCA